rnacentral:rRNA from 1 species
GAUCCGCUCAGGAUGAACGCUAGCUACAGGCUUAACACAUGCAAGUCGAGGGGCAGCAUGGUCUUAGCUUGCUAAGGCCGAUGGCGACCGGCGCACGGGUGAGUAACACGUAUCCAACCUGCCGUCUACUCUUGGACAGCCUUCUGAAAGGAAGAUUAAUACAAGAUGGCAUCAUGAGUCCACAUGUUCACAUGAUUAAAGGUAUUCCGGUAGACGAUGGGG